ACAUCAUGUCUCCUUGCCAGGGUCCUGAUUCUACCCAGCUCGAGCUUCCUGGUCUGUGACAGGCAGGCACCUCUUGACCACCUCUUCCUCUCAUCGCCCCUAUCUUGUUGAAAUAACUACCUCCGAAGCAGCCCUGACAGAUCUGAAGUCCAGGAAAGAGGAGUGUGCCAGAUGCAGAGAUUGAAGCACAGAGAAGUGAAAUCACUUGUCCAGGGUCACACAACUGAUUACCUCCUGGGACUUUUCAAAAAUGCCCCAAUUAAAGGAAAGCUCCAAGGGUCUAGCAUUUAUCAUCCCAGGACAACUGAGAAGAAGAAAGAGAAGGAAAGAAGAGAAAAGAAAAGAACAACAACCUUCAAAUAAUAGAAUAAAUGGAAAUAUGAAAGAAAUACUGAUGUGCCUGGCCCAUCUUGUCACACAUUGUUUUGAAGGAAGCCAGUUCUGUUUGGGAAAUGACAACAAGAUCACCUCGGGCUCCCUCUGCUGCUGUCCAACCUCCCUGGCCCUGUGAGAAGAGUAUUCUCCCUUGGGAUCCUGGACGUCCCACCUUUGAGAGAGAUUUACACACACGGUAACGAAGAGCAGAAUUUGUCAAUUGAAGGCUGAGGCCCCCUUAGGGACCUGUGAUGGCAAGGGUUCUAGAAUGCUAUAUUUAGCACAAAUCACACACGGGAGCUGAAACAGAAGGCUUAUCUCAGGCGUUACUAAAAACUCUCCCCACGUCUCAGGAUGAAGGACACUUGCAUGGUGAUGUGCACUGAAAAGAAAUCUUCAGGAUGCUGUCUCCAAAGAACAAACUCUAAGGUUAGCAAGCUGGGACCUGUUUAGCAAGAGCAUGCAAUGUCUCUCAGACACAGGAGGAUGAGCUAAGCGGGAGCGAAGAUUUUUCAGAACAGCAGAUUUUCUUCCACCGCUUCUCCGGCCUCCUUCUCACCCCGUCAUGCCUGCGGAGACAUUUGUCAAAAGUUUCCUCUGAGUUCUCCAGUCCCUUUGUCCAGCGUGAUCUCUCUGAAUUCAAGUGUGAAGAAAAAGGCUUUGGUUUAGCCUCAGGAAGACACACUCAGGAGCCAGCCCUUUGCCAUCUGCACCAACAGAACUGCAGGAGUCAUGGGAAGCACUAUUAGUUCACUAAUGAGUGAACAUUUCCAAAUUGCUUUGCAGGUCCUUAGUUGUGAUUGCUGCACAUUUUCAUUACUGAAGCAGAGAGGAAACCCAGCUAAGGGACUGGACAGGCCGGUGGAGAUACACACAAAGAGCUCUAACAUCCUGGGGGCACUGCCAAAAAGGAACUUCAGUUACUAAAUCCAAAGAUGCUGGGAGCAUUUUGCUCAGGAUGGAUUACCUUGAAAACAUCACUGGGAGUAGCUCCCAGUCAGCAGAUGCUUGGAGCUCCUGGAUGCUGGCUGGGAGCAUGGAUUCCCAUCCUGUGGCUGUGCGUCACCAUCCAACAUCCUAUAAAUCCAUCCCUUCUCUUCAUGAUUUUUCACAAGGACCUCAGAUCCAGUAUCGUGAGAUGCUCGCAUUUCUGGUCUUACCAUAGACAAUGGUUUCCAAACAUUUCUCAGUCAAACGCCCAAUAGUAUAAGGUCUGAAUAUGGAAUUGUCUGUGCUGGAAAGACAACUGUCUUUGUUCACCACCUUCUCAAGGAAUUCCUGACUGUUUGUACCCACCUUGGACUCUACGUAGUCCUCUCUGGCUUCGUGUUCCAACAUCUAUUAUAUUAGGCACUGUGCCCUUCC